AGCUGUCUCACCCAAACUCUAGCCGAAUCUAAGGGAAGGGUAAAUAAGAACUGAUUUUCGAUCCGAUGGAGAAUUACAUGCGGCUGGAGACUCGCGGCUUUCGCUGCAAGGCUCAGUAGCCGGGUGGGUUGGAGUGAGAGCGCACUUCGGGGCUUUGCCUGGUGAAGGACGGGGGAAUGUGAUUUAGCUCUUAUGUGAGAAAAUGUCUCUG